rnacentral:misc_RNA from 1 species
UACAGAGGGUGCGAGCGUUAAUCGGAAUUACUGGGCGUAAAGCGCACGCAGGUGGAUAUUUAAGUCGGAUGUGAAAUCCCUGGGCUUAACCUAGGAAUUGCCUCCGAUACUGGAUAUCUAGAGUAUGGUAGAGGGAAGUGGAAUUUCCGGUGUAGCGGUGAAAUGCGUAGAUAUCGGAAGGAACACCAGUGGCGAAAGCGACUUCCUGGACCAAUACUGACACUCAGGUGCGAAAGCGUGGGGAGCAAACAGG